rnacentral:rRNA from 1 species
UACGGGGGGGGCAAGCGUUGUUCGGAAUUACUGGGCGUAAAGGGCUCGUAGGUGGCCAACUAAGUCAGACGUGAAAUCCCUCGGCUUAACCGGGGAACUGCGUCUGAUACUGGAUGGCUUGAGUGUGGGAGAGGUAAGCGGAAUUCCUGGUGUAGCGGUGAAAUGCGUAGAUAUCAGGAGGAACACCGGUGGUGUAGACGGCUUACUGGACCACGACUGACACUGAGGCACGAAAGCGUGGGUAGCAAACAGG